AUCAUCUCAUAAAGCAUCUCUUAGAGAACUAUAAAAUUGUAACAGAAUAUCAGAAAGCUAAGAGAGCAUGCUCCCAAAGAAACUGUUUGGGUUCUCUGGAGAAUAGUGUUACAGGUUCAGAGAAGAAGGAAAUGUCACUGCAAUAACCCAACUUCUGCAUCAGUGAUGCAUUUUCCAUAUGAAAUCAUGAAGACUAUAUCAAGAAAUAAUAGUUCUUAAGUCAAGCACAAAGAAUUGCUGCCUUUUGUAUGCACUGAGAUUUUGAUGUCACCUUGCUUUGUAGUCCUUCCGCAUGUAAAUGAGGAGACAAGGUUUUAAUUCUGAAUAAGCCCAUCUAUUUUGGGAUUUCUUCUGCGGUAAAUGACUAGGGAUUCUAACAGCAAAGCUUCCUCCACUGCAUACCGUCUUAAUCAUCUGCAGACCAGUGUACGUAGGGGUGAGCUCAAGCCCCAUCUUCCAUCAUGCAACAGUUACGAGCACAUAUGGUAGAGAGUGCCUUAUAACUGCAAAAUCCCAAAGGUACAUGAUGUUAAAGGAUUCAAGCUAGAGAGUGGAAGGGUAAGUAAGGCAGGAAGCAGGUUUCCCUGUCAAUUGUGUAUCUCAACGAACUGCUUAACGUAUCUUUCUGUCUGCAAGUGACAGUCUACAUACCUCUUCUUGCAGUAGGUGACUCCAAACAGUAGUUCCGACAAAUGCUUAAAUGGAAAUGGGGUAAGGGCCUUCACAUAGCAGCUGUACAGCUUAAAGACUGUCAAAUGGUCUUUAAGUAUUAUCUACAGAUAACAUUCCAUAGGACUGCUUAGCAGAUGCAACUCACAGAGGUAUUUCUUAGUAAGCACACUGAUGUAGCUUGAGUUCUGGUGGAGCUCUGAUGAUAAAAGGACUCUGUCUUUAUCAGUACCAUAAAAGGUUAUUGACACAGCCUCCAGUCUGUUUUAAAACUCAUAUUUCAGUGAAGACUAUUCAUUUGGAUCAACAUGAACUGUUCUGGAUAUCUAAAGGGUCUUCUCACCAAUUUUAUAAAUAGAGAACCACUUUGAUCCUGAGGAUGAGAAAGAUGGUACGUGCAGGAAGUAAGUUAGUGAGGCCAUAAGAACAAAAAAAAUUCGACUCCUUAGCAGUUGGUGAACAUGCAUGAAGACAAAUAUUAUUUCAUCUUUACUCACCCUUUUGUCAUAAUAUGGCUAAAACUUCAAGAUCAGAGGAAUGAAAAAGAAAAUGCAGACAAUUCUUCCUAACCAGAGAACAAGGAAGAUAUUCAGUAAACGUGUAGGGGUAAAAAGGGCCAACACUUUUCUUCCAUAUUUGAAGCCAAAUUCCAUUCUGGAAUUGUGAUCUAGGACUUUGGACCACAUAUCCCACUCAGUCUAGUAUGAAAAAGUCAGCCUUUCUGCCGAAGUAUCAAUGAUAACUAGGAGAUGGAUCAGCAAUAUGUGGAAUUGUCUUUAAAUAUACUAGUUCACAAAGAUCAGCCAAAAGAGGUGGAGGGACACUACACCACCUCACAGACUGAAGUUAAACAGUUGUGGUUUUGUUUGUCAGUGCACUGCUGUAAUGUGUCUUUUGAUAGGGUUGCAGCAUCUCUUCCACAAUUCAUGCUGUUCUGGCUUCUGUGAAGUUUGGGAACAACCAGCCUUGCACAGUUAUGCCCGUGAGUACUUUGCCAGUGCCAUAUACCAUGACUGAUGAGGUAAGUGAGAUCAAAAAGCAUCCCCUUGCGGGCUGCAAGGACCAUAGUAAUGUUGUAUCUUAUGAGACCAUAUUCGGGGGUGGGGGGAAUAUUCAUCAUGCAUAGAUGAGUCUGAAGGUGUAAACCAUAUAGUGGGGAAGCCAGACUUGAAAACUUUAUAGGGAUAGAUUGGCUUGAGGCAUCAUACAGAGGCAUCAUGAUGACUUAGCAAGGUUAGGCAGAUUUGUCAUUGUGAUAGGAAGAAGACCCACACACGCAUGUUAUGGCAGUCCAACACCUAUCUUAAAAUGGAAGGAUUCUUGCAGGUUCUAAGGAACGUGUGGAGUAGACUCUGCCUCUUGCUUGUCCCUUCACCAGCCAGCUGUUGAGAUCGGGAGAGGGGUACGGAGUUCUAUCCAGGGAAGAUCAGCACCACUGCCAAUAUUUAAGUGCUGUGGGAAGUCUGAGUUGAUCUUUAUUAAUCUGCAAGACAAAGGUGAUACUAUGUAGGUGAUAUACUUCAGCAAUGUAGAAAUGUGCCUCAUGAAGUUUCAUUGUGCAAGGAAAGAGGAGGAUGUCAAAGCAGAUAAAUAGUAUUUGUGUUUGUUUACAUGAUCCUUCCUUUUUGAAAUGUUUCUCUUGAGAAUUUGAUAACUAGUGCAGGUGAAAGCUGGUAGGCGGAAGAUAUUCCUUCUGUGGAAGUCUUCCACGCAGGGUGAGUCAGCAGUGGCAACUUGAAUAAAAACUUGAUGCUGCCAAGUAGGGGUGUGAAGAUUCUGGUGGACUGGGACUGAAGCCCCAUGCACACGUUGAGCUAGUGCCAAAAAAAGGUGGCGAGGGUCCUGUUGCCAUCAAACUAUGGUUCAGAGGGCCAGUUAUUUUUUGCUUGAAAUUGUAUGGUAUCCCAGUAGAAUUGUUUUCUCCUUGUCCAAAACUAGAAAGAAUACUAUUUUGAGGCACCAAGUCUCACUUGUGAGAUGGAAAAGGCAGAGGAAGCAGAUCUUUGAGAUUAUAGAAGCGUGUGCUGAUGACUAGUCAAACGCCCCAGACAAUACUACAUACUGUUGCAUUUUGAAAUAAUAUGGGCUAACAUACUAAUAUUUAACAUGGAGGGGUUGAGGAUUCUGAUCUGGUAACCUGUCAUAAGGUCAAUGAGAGAUGAUUCGAAAGUGUAAGGCUCCCAAUACUGAACUAUGUGUUGAGCCUGCCCUGAUCUUUGUGUCACUGCUCUGAAGUACCGUAUCAAGGAAUGGCAUGCAUUCUGUGCCAGAGCCUGGACAGUCUGUAGUGAAAACUCCUCAUACCUUCUUACUGAGAAUAAUUGAGAGGAUCUAGAACACUGACGAACCCUGCCUGCAUGUUAGUAAUUUGAGGUGGAGACACCAUCUUCAGUAUGGGCACUAGGAAAUGAAGCUCAGCAGUUCUUUGAAAUUCUGUCGAGAAUCUGAGGAGCAGGGAGGCCUUUCUGCAUUAGGCUAAAGUGGAUCAGAAGCUUUUCAUUUCAAAUCUGUUAGGAGAUCGGGUCCUGGCACCAUAGCACACUGUCGUGAUUGAUUCAGGCUGUGCUAUGAGUCCUUGGUCAAUAGGUUGUGGCAAUCAGUGAUGCUGCUGCUGUCUUUUUAAUGAAAGAAUUUUGGAACUGCCACUUCCUGUUUUUAUCAGUGUGAAGUUUAAGACCUCAUACCUUAUGGAUGGAGUGUUUUUACCAAAUGUGCCCUUUGCACAGGGCAGGCAGAGCUGGAAGAUGAAUCUCAAGAACAAGUCAUGUAAGUAGAGCUUACUAGAGAGAAUAAAGCUUGAGUUUAAACUACAAAAAGAUGGCUAAAUGAUACAAAUAUCAGUAAGGAACACUGCAUUAUUGAAGGGAUGUGCAGCUACGGAAUGCUGUAGUCCACCUGGCAGAAAAAAGAAACUGGGAAAGUGCCAGACUUACUUGUGCAUCAGACACGUGAGGGUAUGGACACCAUCAAGUUCUCUGUGGAAAACUUGUCUCCAGUUAUAAAGUAUUUGUGCAGCUGCUGGGCAGAUACACAGUGGAUUAUCGCUUAAAAGAUAAAGAAACGUUUUCUCUCAUAAAUGAGACUUUUAUUAUACUUCUUAUUAGCUUCUUGACAAUAUUUAUCAUUUCUAGUCAUUUUUAUACUUUGCGCCCUAAUGUGUAUGAUUUAGUAUGCUGCUCCCUCUUUAGUAUCUUUCUAUCACAAGCUGAAUUCCAGUGCAACAACAUUAACUUUAAUCAGCAUGUUGUAAGACUUCUGGGACUGAUGGUAGGAUCGCUUAAGCGAUGUAACUGGAGAGUAGUUCCUCACAGGCAAGUACACAAAUGGCCAGAUGGCCUCUAUAGUUCAUAAAAUCUUUUUUCUUUUUUAUUGGAAAUUGAUGUUACUGGGCCUAUCUGAUCCUAAAGAUCUAUUUCUACACUGAGUGCACUGCACAAAUGUUAGCUGUUUUAAUAGCUUCUGUUUUGUUAAGAGAUCAGCAUACUGGAUGGUCCCUGAUGGGGGGGAGGGAAAGCACUUUGCCUAUUCUACUGGAUUUCCUCAGCAAAGUUACUUAAGCUUUCUGGACCUUAAUUCACUUUCUACAAGUAAGUAAUGACAGGUGUAUCUAUUUCUGAUUUCCUAGUCAUAAAUUUAUUGUAGGACUAACUGCUGUUUGAGGCAAGCAAACACAGUAGUGCUAGAGAAAAUGUAAGAAUUAAUUGGCAAGUUGUUUUGAAGAAAGCUUUACUCAGUGGAUGGUUGUUACAGAUGGGCAAAGAGGAUCAUACCUACUCUUGACUGUUUGCUUUUUACUACAUGAGGGACGUGUUCUGUACGAUGGGCAAAGGCAAGGGUUUGUCUCAGGCUGGGCUAGCUCAAAGUUGGGGUUUUUCUUAAGCAUGUGGGUGCAGCUGCCUCACAGACAUGUAUUGCAGUAAAACCCUCCAGAUCUCGAAUAUGGCUGUAAGUCUAAAAAUAAUACGUAACAAAGGGUGUCCUUUGCAGGGAGAGCCAGAAAUAACUUGCUUUUGCUUUGUCAAAAUGUAAGGCUAUUAUCAGUUAAUUUAAAAGCAGCAGCCUGACCCAGAGACCACGCAAGAGCUAACUUUCAAGCAAAUUCUCUACGUACGAAUCUCGAGCUUGGGCUUCCUCCAAAGAAAUAAUAAAUACCACUCGCUUG